rnacentral:rRNA from 1 species
GGGUUGUGAGGUUAAGCGACUAAGCGUACACGGUGGAUGCCCCGCAGUCAGAGGCGAUGAAGGACGUGCUAAUCUGCGAUAAGCGUCGGUAAGGUGAUAUGAACCGUUAUAACCGGCGAUUUCCGAAUGGGGAAACCCAGUGUGAUUCGUCACACUAUCAUUAACUGAAUCCAUAGGUUAAUGAGGCGAACCGGGGGAACUGAAACAUCUAAGUACCCCGAGGAAAAGAAAUCAACCGAGAUUCCCCAGUAGCGGCGAGCGAACGGGGAGCAGCCCAGAGCCUGAAUCAGUGUGUGUGUUAGUGGAAGCGUCUGGAAAGGCGUGCGAUACAGGGUGACAGCCCCGUACACAAAAAUGCACAUACUGUGAGCUCGAUGAGUAGGGCGGGACACGUGGUAUCCUGUCUGAAUAUGGGGGGACCAUCCUCCAAGGCUAAAUACUCCUGACUGACCGAUAGUGAACCAGUACCGUGAGGGAAAGGCGAAAAGAACCCCGGCGAGGGGAGUGAAAAAGAACCUGAAACCGUGUACGUACAAGCAGUGGGAGCACGCUUAGGCGUGUGACUGCGUACCUUUUGUAUAAUGGGUCAGCGACUUAUAUUCUGUAGCAAGGUUAACCGAAUAGGGAGCCGAAGGGAAACCGAGUCUUAACUGGGCGUUAAGUUGCAGGGUAUAGACCCGAAACCCGGUGAUCUAGCCAUGGGCAGGUUGAAGGUUGGGUAACACUAACUGGAGGACCGAACCGACUAAUGUUGAAAAAUUAGCGGAUGACUUGUGGCUGGGGGUGAAAGGCCAAUCAAACCGGGAGAUAGCUGGUUCUCCCCGAAAGCUAUUUAGGUAGCGCCUCGUGAAUUCAUCUCCGGGGGUAGAGCACUGUUUCGGCAAGGGGGUCAUCCCGACUUACCAACCCGAUGCAAACUGCGAAUACCGGAGAAUGUUAUCACGGGAGACACACGGCGGGUGCUAACGUCCGUCGUGAAGAGGGAAACAACCCAGACCGCCAGCUAAGGUCCCAAAGUCAUGGUUAAGUGGGAAACGAUGUGGGAAGGCCCAGACAGCCACGAUGUUGGCUUAGAAGCAGCCAUCAUUUAAAGAAAGCGUAAUAGCUCACUGGUCGAGUCGGCCUGCGCGGAAGAUGUAACGGGGCUAAACCAUGCACCGAAGCUGCGGCAGCGACGCUUAUGCGUUGUUGGGUAGGGGAGCGUUCUGUAAGCCUGUGAAGGUGUGCUGUGAGGUAUGCUGGAGGUAUCAGAAGUGCGAAUGCUGACAUAAGUAACGAUAAAGCGGGUGAAAAGCCCGCUCGCCGGAAGACCAAGGGUUCCUGUCCAACGUUAAUCGGGGCAGGGUGAGUCGACCCCUAAGGCGAGGCCGAAAGGCGUAGUCGAUGGGAAACAGGUUAAUAUUCCUGUACUUGGUGUUACUGCGAAGGGGGGACGGAGAAGGCUAUGUUGGCCGGGCGACGGUUGUCCCGGUUUAAGCGUGUAGGCUGGUUUUCCGUGCAAAUCCGGAAAAUCAAGGCCGAGGCGUGAUGACGAGGCACUACGGUGCUGAAGCAACAAAUGCCCUGCUUCCGUGGAAAAGCCUCUAAGCAUCAGGUAACAUCAAAUCGUACCCCAAACCGACACAGGUGGUCAGGUAGAGAAUACCAAGGCGCUUGAGAGAACUCGGGUGAAGGAACUAGGCAAAAUGGUGCCGUAACUUCGGGAGAAGGCACGCUGAUACGUAGGUGAAGCGACUUGCUCGUGGAGCUGAAAUCAGUCGAAGAUACCAGCUGGCUGCAACUGUUUAUUAAAAACACAGCACUGUGCAAACACGAAAGUGGACGUAUACGGUGUGACGCCUGCCCGGUGCCGGAAGGUUAAUUGAUGGGGUUAGCGCAAGCGAAGCUCUUGAUCGAAGCCCCGGUAAACGGCGGCCGUAACUAUAACGGUCCUAAGGUAGCGAAAUUCCUUGUCGGGUAAGUUCCGACCUGCACGAAUGGCGUAAUGAUGGCCAGGCUGUCUCCACCCGAGACUCAGUGAAAUUGAACUCGCUGUGAAGAUGCAGUGUACCCGCGGCAAGACGGAAAGACCCCGUGAACCUUUACUAUAGCUUGACACUGAACAUUGAGCCUUGAUGUGUAGGAUAGGUGGGAGGCUUUGAAGUGUGGACGCCAGUCUGCAUGGAGCCGACCUUGAAAUACCACCCUUUAAUGUUUGAUGUUCUAACGUGGACCCGUGAUCCGGGUUGCGGACAGUGUCUGGUGGGUAGUUUGACUGGGGCGGUCUCCUCCUAAAGAGUAACGGAGGAGCACGAAGGUUGGCUAAUCCUGGUCGGACAUCAGGAGGUUAGUGCAAUGGCAUAAGCCAGCUUGACUGCGAGCGUGACGGCGCGAGCAGGUGCGAAAGCAGGUCAUAGUGAUCCGGUGGUUCUGAAUGGAAGGGCCAUCGCUCAACGGAUAAAAGGUACUCCGGGGAUAACAGGCUGAUACCGCCCAAGAGUUCAUAUCGACGGCGGUGUUUGGCACCUCGAUGUCGGCUCAUCACAUCCUGGGGCUGAAGUAGGUCCCAAGGGUAUGGCUGUUCGCCAUUUAAAGUGGUACGCGAGCUGGGUUUAGAACGUCGUGAGACAGUUCGGUCCCUAUCUGCCGUGGGCGCUGGAGAACUGAGGGGGGCUGCUCCUAGUACGAGAGGACCGGAGUGGACGCAUCACUGGUGUUCGGGUUGUCAUGCCAAUGGCACUGCCCGGUAGCUAAAUGCGGAAGAGAUAAGUGCUGAAAGCAUCUAAGCACGAAACUUGCCCCGAGAUGAGUUCUCCCUGACCCUUUAAGGGUCCUGAAGGAACGUUGAAGACGACGACGUUGAUAGGCCGGGUGUGUAAGCGCAGCGAUGCGUUGAGCUAACCGGUACUAAUGAACCGUGAGGCUUAACCUUACAACGCCGAAG